rnacentral:rRNA from 1 species
GUGAGGUAACCUUUUGGAGCCAGCCGCCGAAGGUGGGACAGAUGAUUGGGGUGAAGUCGUAACAAGGUAGCCGUAUCGGAAGGUGCGGCUGGAUCACCUCCUUU